rnacentral:rRNA from 1 species
UACGUAGGGUCCGAGCGUUGUCCGGAAUUAUUGGGCGUAAAGAGCUCGUAGGCGGUUUGUCGCGUCUGCUGUGAAAUCCCGAGGCUCAACCUCGGGUCUGCAGUGGGUACGGGCAGACUGGAGUGCGGUAGGGGAGAAUGGAAUUCCUGGUGUAGCGGUGGAAUGCGCAGAUAUCGGGAGGAACACCGAUGGCGAAGGCAGUUCUCUGGGCCGUAACUGACGCUGAGGAGCGAAAGUGUGGGGAGCGAACAGG